AUUGAACGCUGGCGGCAGGCUUAACACAUGCAAGUCGAGCGAGCGGCGGACGGGUGAAAAAUGUCUGGGAAACUGCCUGAUGGGGGGGUAUCACUACUGGAAACGGUAGCUAAUAGCGCAUAACCUCAGAUGUGCUUAGAUGGGUUUAGCUUGUAGUGGGGGUAAUGGCGCACCUAGGCGCAGAUCCCUAGGUGGUGUGAGAGGAUGACCAGCCACACGGGAACUGAGACACGGUCCAGACUCCUACGGGAGGCAGCAGUGGGGAAUAUUGCACAAUGGGCGCAAGCCUGAUGCAGCCAUGCCGCGUGUGUGAAGAAGGCCUUCGGGUUGUAAAGCACUUUCAGCGAGGAGGCGUUACUCGCAGAAGAAGCACCGGCUAACUCCGUGCCAGCAGCCGCGGUAAUAC
rnacentral:rRNA from 1 species